rnacentral:lncRNA from 10 species
ACACCGGCUUUUUCCCCAUCAGGCGGUCCGAGUGCGGCUCCUCGCGAGCCUGCAAAGGAGCAGCAGGCGGUUCCUUUUCGGACGACCUGGAGCGAGGCCUGCGGGACUGCGCGCCCCGGCGGGCGGCGUGCGGCUCCCGGCAUGCGCGGCGGCUGCGUUCCCGCCGCCUCCGAGCUCGCCUGGGGCUGCCGCCCGCCUCCUGCCGGGCCCUCGGGCUCGCCCGGCACCGCGGGGCUUGAUCAGGGAGAUAUUUUAGUACAACAUCUUUUCAUCACAGAAAUGAUAUCUUCAGGGAAAAGACUUCGAAAAAGUGCCUGAAGUGACACAACACAUGUUUUCUUCUGGUAUCUGGCUAAAGUAAGUACGAAAAUUAGAUUAAAAACAAAGAUAUAAAAUAUAUGGGGGAAAAUUAUAUGGGAAGUAUUAGAAGCUAAAAAGCUAUAUAUUAAGGGGAAAUAGAAGAAUCAGAGAAAGAAAUGACUAUUUGAGCCAUUACUGAUGAUGGUAGAACAUUAAAAUUAAAAUUUAGGGACUGAGAUAUACAAAUUUUAUUUAUGGAGACUAUUUGUGAUACUUUUUUUAAAUAACAAAAAAUAUAGUUGCUGGCCAGGUGCA